ACUUUGGAGGACUAGUGGUUAAGCCACAGCGCUCUCACCACUAGAGCCUGGGUUCGAUUCCCGGCCAGGGCU